rnacentral:rRNA from 1 species
UGGGGAAUUUUGCACAAUGGGGGAAACCCUGAUGCAGCGACGCCGCGUGAUUUAGAAGGCCUUCGGGUUGUAAAAAUCUUUUGUAUGGAAGAAAAUGACAGUACUAUACGAAUAAGGACCGGCUAAUUACGUGCCAGCAGCCGCGGUAAUACGUAAGGUCCGAGCGUUGUCCGGAAUCAUUGGGCGUAAAGGGUACGUAGGCGGGUAAGCAAGUUAGAAGUGAAAUCCUAUAGCUCAACUAUAGUAAGCUUUUAAAACUGCUCAUCUUGAGGUAUGGAAGGGAAAGUGGAAUUCCUAGUGUAGCGGUGAAAUGCGCAGAUAUUAGGAGGAAUACCGGUGGCGAAGGCGACUUUCUGGCCAUAACCUGACGCUGAGGUACGAAAGCGUGGGUAGCAAACAGG